rnacentral:rRNA from 1 species
GACGAACGCUGGCGGCGUGCCUAAUACAWGCAAGUCGAGCGGAGUUCGUUUUGUAGCUUGCUACGAAGCGAACUUAGCGGCGGACGGGUGAGUAACACGUAGGUAACCUGCCUGUAAGACCGGGAUAACUUGCGGAAACGUGAGCUAAUACCGGAUAGGAUGGAGCUUCGCAUGGAGCUUCAUGGAAAGACGGAGCAAUCUGUCACUUACGGAUGGACCUGCGGCGCAUUAGCUAGUUGGUGGGGUAACGGCUCACCAAGGCGACGAUGCGUAGCCGACCUGAGAGGGUGACCGGCCACACUGGGACUGAGACACGGCCCAGACUCCUACGGGAGGCAGCAGUAGGGAAUCUUCCGCAAUGGACGCAAGUCUGACGGAGCAACGCCGCGUGAGUGAUGAAGGUUUUCGGAUCGUAAAGCUCUGUUGCCAGGGAAGAACGCUUGGGAGAGUAACUGCUCU